rnacentral:tRNA from 1 species
GGCUCGGUCGCCAAGUGGUAAGGCAAGAGUCUGCAAAACUCUUAUACACCGGUUCAAUUCCGGUCCGGGCCUCCA